rnacentral:rRNA from 1 species
GAAAUCGCACGGGCUAAUAUCCUGUGUGGAUGACGGUACCGGAAUAAGAAGCACCGGCUAACUACGUGCCAGCAGCCGCGGUAAUACGUAGGGUGCGAGCGUUAAUCGGAAUUACUGGGCGUAAAGCGUGCGCAGGCGGUUUGAUAAGACAGGCGUGAAAUCCCCGGGCUUAACCUGGGAACUGCGCUUGUGACUGUCUCACUAGAGUACGGCAGAGGGGGGUGGAAUUCCACGUGUAGCAGUGAAAUGCGUAGAGAUGUGGAGGAACACCGAUGGCGAAGGCAGCCCCCUGGGCCGAUACUGACGCUCAUGCACGAAAGCGUGGGGAGCAAACAGGAUUAGAUACCCUGGUAGUCCACGCCCUAAACGAUGUCUACUAGUUGUUGGGGUAGCAAUACCUCAGUGACGCAGCUAACGCGUGAAGUAGACCGCCUGGGGAUACGGUCGCAAGAUUAAAAACUCAAAAGGAAUUGACGGGGGCCCGCACAAGCGGUGGAUUAUGUGGAUUAAUUCGAU